CUCGUAACAUCUUUAACCUGGGCCCCAGGGAGGCAGCAGACUUCCCUAAGAAGUGGGUCCAGUCUGCAUAUUGGGUCUUCUGUUCCCCUCAGAAGAGAGUCUCCUAUGACAAUGACCUGUCUUUUCUACUAUAU